UGUCCAGCAACUCCUAUCCCUACCUCCACGUGGCACCAACAGGGCAGCGAGCAACCUUAGAGAAGAUCGGGCAACCAACCCCGGUGUGAACUUUGGUCGCAGUCUAACAGGGAAGG
rnacentral:ribozyme from 1 species